AUGUAAUUUUGUAUUGGGCCUAAAAGCAGACCCGUAUCACUUUGUUGUGGUAUGGCUGUCCCUCUUCUUCUGCAUUUAAUCCGUAACCCUAGAUGUGAUGUGACCAACUCCAACAAGGAAUGGGGUGUUGUAGUUGUAGGGAACUGGUUGACUAUACAAACCUUUUGGUUCCUGUAAGAUGGUAACGUAAAGCGGCCAGUUAUCCGAGUUCAAGUUGUUCUUUAAAUUAUGGCAGAAAUAGUUGUUGGAGAAGAUAGAAUAUCAGAGUUGCUUGUACACUUAAUUCAUGACAUCUUAGGUUAGGUUCGUUCAGACGGGCUCAAAGAAGAAGCUCGAACUUGUGUCUUGUCUAAGACAUGGAAUUUAAUUUGGAGAAGCCGACCUGAUACGAUCCUUAAAUUCUGCCACUAUAGUUUCUUCAGAAAUUUGGAGGAUUUUGUUAAACUCGUUGAUGAUUCCUUGCGGCCCUAUGUCGAGCAAAAGCUGAGAAUUGAAACGCUCUGCCUCCAACAGCUUCAUCCUCGGGGAUUGCCUUGUCACAGUCAUGUGGAUCGUUGGUUGGAAUUGGCAAUUAAACUCAACGUCAAAUUUCUAGAAAUUGAUGCAGCUUGGUUCGGUUCAAACUACUACAGCAUACCUGAUUCUAUUUAUGCUGCAAAGACGCUGACUAGAUUAUACCUAAGCGGGUGCAACUUUGGAAUUGAUAAUAGCACCACCACCAACAACGACUUAAAAAUUAAGUCGUUGCAUGGGUUUCAAGAAUUUGCAUAUUUCGAGGCUAGUAAAUCUGGAGAAAUUGGAGCUAUCGAGGUGUAAAAAACUCGAGAAGAUAGAAAUUUCGGCUCCAAAUCUUAAGAAAUUCACAUAUGUUGGUGUGCCUUUGGAAGAAUACCCCACCACACGUGAACCAGAAUUGUUGCCAUGCACAAUUGAUAUUUUAGAUGGUCAUAAAACUUUAGACUAUCUCCACUUGGAAGCUACCACCAUGACCGACCGCAGUUUGAGUAUCAGUUAUCCAUGUUUCCAGCCCUUGAAGGAACUCGAAGGAUACCAUGUAAUGAAACAUAUAAAAGUUGUGGGUGAAAAACUUAAGAAAUUCAGAUUGUGGCAUUGGCGGAAUUUGGAGAAAGUGAACACGCUGGCUCCAAAUCUGAUGGCAUUCUAUUUUGAGGGUCCCAAAAUGCCCUUCUCAAUCACAACACAAGUAUGAAUCUUUCUAACCUGGAAACAAGGCAGACUCGAUUUUUAUCUGCAGCCAUUUGAUUCUUACAACUUCGGAGAUGUAGACACAAGAUGGUUCAAGAAUGUUCUAAGCUUCGUUCAAAAGUUCAACUAUUCUAACGGCCUGACAUUAAUAUUUCAUUGCGAGGAGAGUAUUCUUAUUUAUGAAGCUCCAAGAGCAAUUCUGCUUCCACCUACUCGAAAGCUGGAUCUAUACAUUGAGAAUCACAUGAUGCCUCUUGAGUCAUUGGUCGAUGAUAUGAUGUUUGCUCAGCCCAAGAUAAUGUCCAUAGUGCAUGGCGUUGAUAGCAAAAUUCUCCAGGUUUUCCAUGAGAUGACAGCAGCAUACACAAAGAAGCAAAACAGAAGGCUAAAAGAAGUCACUGAUCACAAAGGCGCAGCUGAGGAAGGCGGCACGUCUCAUUUGUGCACUUGGCUGAAAUCAAAGUCUCUAAUUGAACGGAUUACCACUUUUAAUUUUAAAUGGGCUUAACCUACUUUCUCAGAUCGUCUCAUUCAUAGUAUUACUUGCGUUUUGAGUUGUAUAUGGAAUUCUGGAAUGAAUGCACUCCCCCUAUUUUUGUCUUAUUAUCAACAUAUGUGGAGAUUCAGAUCUGUCCUUUUGCUCAAUUUUUAUUGCACUACUGAAUCAUUCCGUAACGAGGUAAUGAAGUGUCUGAGUGUAAAC